GGUCAAGCGAAUAAGCGCACACGGUGGAUGCCUUGGCGGUCAGAGGCGAUGAAGGACGUGGCAGCCUGCGAAAAGUAUCGGGGAGCUGGCAACAAGCUUUGAUCCGGUAAUGUCCGAAUGGGGAAACCCACCCGCUUGCGGGUAUCCUGCAGUGAAUACAUAGCUGCUGGAAGCGAACCUGGUGAACUGAAAUAUCUAAGUAACCAGAGGAAAAGAAAUCAACCGAGAUUCCGUAAGUAGCGACGAGCGAACGCGGACUAGCCCUUAAGCUGGAUUGGUUCUAGGAAAACGCUCUGGAAAGAGCGGCCAUAGAAGGUGAUAGCCCUGUAUCUGAAAGGGCCAUUCCAGUGAAGACGAGUAGGGCGGGGCACGUGAAACCCUGUCUGAACAUGGGGGGACCAUCCUCCAAGGCUAAAUACUACUGACCGACCGAUAGUGAACCAGUACCGUGAGGGAAAGGCGAAAAGAACCCCGGAGAGGGGAGUGAAAUAGAACCUGAAACCGUGUGCGUACAAGCAGUAGGAGCUCCGCAAGGAGUGACUGCGUACCUUUUGUAUAAUGGGUCAGCGACUUACUGUUCGUGGCAAGCUUAACCGUAUAGGGGAGGCGAAGGGAAACCGAGUCUGAUAAGGGCGCAUAGUCGCGGGCAGUAGACCCGAAACCGGGUGAUCUAGUCAUGCCCAGGGUGAAGGUGCGGUAACACGCACUGGAGGCCCGAACCCACUCCCGUUGCAAAGGUAGGGGAUGAGGUGUGAUUAGGAGUGAAAAGCUAAUCGAACCCGGAGAUAGCUGGUUCUCCUCGAAAGCUAUUUAGGUAGCGCCUCAUAUGUAUCCUCUCGGGGGUAGAGCACUGUUAUGGCUAGGGGGUCAUCGCGACUUACCAAACCAUUGCAAACUCCGAAUACCGAGACGGACUGUAUGGGAGACACACGGCGGGUGCUAACGUCCGUCGUGAAAAGGGAAACAACCCAGACCCACAGCUAAGGUCCCAAAUUCACUGCUAAGUGGAAAACCAUGUGGAAAGGCACAGACAGCCAGGAGGUUGGCUUAGAAGCAGCCACCCUUUAAAGAAAGCGUAAUAGCUCACUGGUCGAGUCGGUCUGCGGGGAAGAUUUAACGGGGCUAAGCAGUGAACCGAAGCUUGGGGUGCAUAACUUUGUUAUGCGCGGUAGAGGAGCGUUCCGUAAGCCGUUGAAGGUGGAUUGAGAAGUCUGCUGGAGGUAUCGGAAGUGCGAAUGCUGACAUGAGUAACGAUAAUGCGGGUGAAAAACCCGCACGCCGAAAGCCCAAGGUUUCCUUGCGCAACGUUAAUCGGCGCAGGGUGAGUCGGCCCCUAAGGCGAGGACGAAAGUCGUAGUCGAUGGGAAGCAGGUUAAUAUUCCUGCACCUCGCGUAAGUGCGAUGGAGGGACGGAGAAGGUUAGGUGUACCAGGCGUUGGUUGUCCUGGGGAAAGGCGGUAGGUUUGGAUCUUUGGCAAAUCCGGGAUCCUUUAAGACCGAGCACCGAGACGAGCCUUUAUGGCGAAGUCACUGAUACCACGCUUCCAGGAAAAGCUCCUAAGCUUCAGCUUACGCAGACCGUACCGUAAACCGACACAGGUGGGUAGGAUGAGAAUUCUCAGGCGCUUGAGAGAACUCGGGUGAAGGAACUAGGCAACAUGGCACCGUAACUUCGGGAGAAGGUGCACCCUUUUUGGUGGCUCGUGCGAGCUAUAGCUGAAGAGGGUCGCAGUAACCAGGCCGCUGCGACUGUUUAUCAAAAACACAGCACUCUGCAAACACGAAAGUGGACGUAUAGGGUGUGACGCCUGCCCGGUGCUGGAAGGUUAAUUGAUGGGGUCAGCCGCAAGGCGAAGCUCUUGAUCGAAGCCCCAGUAAACGGCGGCCGUAACUAUAACGGUCCUAAGGUAGCGAAAUUCCUUGUCGGGUAAGUUCCGACCUGCACGAAUGGCGUAACGACAGCGGCGCUGUCUCCACCCGAGACUCAGUGAAAUUGAAAUCGCUGUGAAGAUGCAGCGUUCCCGUGGCAAGACGGAAAGACCCCGUGAACCUUUACUAUAGCUUUACACUGAACGUUGAGUUCGUCUGUGUAGGAUAGGUGGGAGGCUAUGAAACCAUGGCGCUAGCUGUGGUGGAGCCAUCCUUGAAAUACCACCCUGUCGUGCUUGACGUUCUAACY
rnacentral:rRNA from 1 species